GGCGGCGUGCCUAAUACAUGCAAGUCGAGCGAAGUUUUUCUGGUGCUUGCACUAGAAAAACUUAGCGGCGAACGGGUGAGUAACACGUAAAGAACCUGCCUCAUAGACUGGGACAACUAUUGGAAACGAUAGCUAAUACCGGAUAACAGUAUUUCUCGCAUGAGAGAUAUUUAAAAGUUGGUUAUGCUAACACUAUGAGAUGGCCUUGCGGUGCAUUAGCUAGUUGGUGGGGUAAAGGCCUACCAAGGCGACGAUGCAUAGCCGACCUGAGAGGGUGAUCGGCCACACUGGGACUGAGACACGGCCCAGACUCCUACGGGAGGCAGCAGUAGGGAAUCUUCCGCAAUGGGCGAAAGCCUGACGGAGCAACGCCGCGUGAGUGAAGAAGGAUUUCGGUUCGUAAAGCUCUGUUGUUAGGGAAGAAUGGAUAUGUAGUAACUAUACAUAUAAGAGACG
rnacentral:rRNA from 1 species